GGUUGCACAACGGUUAAAGCAGUUGGUUGCUAACCAAAAGGUUGGUGGUUCGAACCCACCAGCUG
rnacentral:tRNA from 1 species